rnacentral:rRNA from 1 species
GGAUUAGAUACCCUGGUAGUCCACAGCUGUAAACGAUGGGCACUAGGUGUCGCGGGUCUUGACCCCUGCGGCGCCGUAAGCAAACGCGUUAAGUGCGCCGCCUGGGGAGUACGGUCGCAAGGCUAAAACUCAAAGGAAUUGACGGGGGCUCACACAAGCGGUGGAGCAUGUUGCUUAAUUCGAAACAACGCGAAGAACCUUACCUGGGCUUGACAUGUAUGGAUUAGCUCUUAGAAAUUUGAGUGACGCCUUCGGGUGGAACAUACACAGGUGCUGCAUGGCUGUCGUCAGCUCGUGCUG